rnacentral:sRNA from 1 species
AUUUGCUUAUUUCCAGUGCAUUCAGAAGAGGUCCUCGGGUAGAAUCUGGGGUCAUAACAAAGGAGAAUGAUAAAACAAAUUCUAGAGUAACAUUCAUAUAACUUGGUUCAUAUAAAGUGUAGCUCCCAUUGGCAUUCUCAGCAAUGUUGACCACUGCAUUGCUAUAGUCAGCUAUAUAAGGUUGCUUUAAUUUGAAUUUUCGACUCUCAUUCUUGUCCAAAUCUUCAAUCUCUGCAAAAUAUGCAUAAGCUCGAGCAUUGGCAGGGAAGUCUUCCAGUGCCAAUCCUUUCGGUGCCUGGGGCUACCCCAACAAGAUAAUUUUGCCUUCUAAUUAGAUCAGAAUCCCAAAUUCUAUCAUAUGGAUCAUCCGGGUACCUGAGAAAUACUUUUGUUUAACACUGGUGAUCUUUUUCCUUAAUAAGGUAACAAGGUUUUAUACUUGUACUGAUGCUUAUUCUGAGAUAAAAUUUUGGAAACUCUUGUUUCAGUUAUGUGCCAAAAAGCAAAAUCUAACCAAGUACAACAAAAAUGAGGUAGCUUUCAUACCUGACAGCAUCUUCAGUUGGUGCGCCAAAAUUUAUUCUUGCAGCAACUUCUAAGAAGAAAUUGUCUUCAAAAUCCGUGGCAUACAUUGAAAGAUUGAAGGGUCGCAACUCAAGAGUGGAAAUGAAGGGAGAACCAGUGGUAGCACAACACACACAGACAUCAAUAGAAUUUGAGGGUGCCCUGAUUAUCAUUUCCUUAACAUAUAUUCUUGAGGCAUCAUAUACUGACACAGUAGCCCACUUGGUUGCAUCCAAGUAGAGCUGAAACUGAGGGUAAGUGUCCCCAUUCUCCAAGCUUCCAUACUGAAAAGUUGCUCUCACCAAGUACCUUCUUCUCUCCUCUGUGCUCAGCGUGUAACAGUACUUCUUGGUGUCUAUGGGAAACUCUCUCCUCUUUUGAUAUUGCACCAUGCUUCCAUUUGGACUUUGCACUUCCACUGAAAUGCCAUGUUCCAUGAUCCCAGAGUCUGAGAUCCAUGCCAAACCCGUGCUGUUAUCAGUGUAAUUGCUUGAUCCACCACAAUCAAUGCUCACAAACUCUGCAUGAGAAGAAGUUAGAUUCUGUGUUUUGUAUCAUUACAUGAAACGAUGGUAAGAAAAAGGAGGUUUCAGGAAUCAUGGUUCCUUCAACUGAAACUGAAUCGAAAAGAUGCAUCUCUCACCUUCAGGUUGGCAAACAGCAAAUGAUGUCAGCAGAGGAGUUAAAACAAGAAGGAGAGAAGGUAAACCCAUAGAUGUAAGGAAGAGAAAAUAAUAAUUUUGCUACCAGAAUUUUAAGUGGUU